GAUUAGUAUAGAGGCUUUUCUCAAAAAAAAAAAAAAAAGAUUAGUAUAGAGGCUGAAAAAUUGAUUAAAUGAUUAAUGGUUGAUAGUGAGACAUAGAGCAAUCGAAGAAGCUUAUUUUCAACGCCAACCAACCCAUCUUCCAUUCUCUACCCAUUCAUCUUCAUAAUCUACAUCCCAUUCUCAGGUCAGCUAUCCUCUUCUUUUUUUCAUCUUUUCGUUGGAAAUUUCCACAUUCCUCAUUGUUCCAUUCCAAUUGUAAAUCCAAAUUUCUUGAUCUUAGUAUGUUAAAGAUAUAGUUAGUUAGUAAUUAGGAGGAUUAGUUAGUAGUUUGUUGAUGCCUAUAUAUAUAGGCUUUGAUGUAAUC
rnacentral:lncRNA from 1 species